UUUCAGAUAUUAACUAUUUAUAGGAUUAACCUUGGAACAUCUCUUCACAGCGUAUCUCAUUACCUCUUUCUGCAAUAAAUCAGCAAUGGAGUUAGGAACGGCAUCCUGAUUCCUCAGCCUUGGAAAUACAGGCAGGAGUUCUCAGUCCGCACUACCAGCAAAAUCAGUGCAGCUUGCACCCUGUGCCCUUCUUGGCCUUCACAGAGACAGGCAGGAUCACAGGAUCAGGAAGCUGAGACGAAACCGAGAACCAUCCCUGUACUGUUCAAUUCAGGCCUCCAGAUUAAGGCCUUCUCUCACCGGAGACAGAGCAACUCUGGCAGACCAUUUCUGCGGGUAGCACAGCCUCAGAGUGAAGGAAACCCACUGCGUGUCCCAUUUGCCAAACUGAAGAUACUUCUGUGCUUGUGUGGCCUUGCUUGUACCAGCAGGUGCUAGCAUUUGAGCUAGACAGAAACAUUAUGACAGUGUUUAUUUCUCAUUCUGAAGAUAUAUAUUAGCUAGAACUGAACUAUUCUGUUGUUUCUGAGAAACUCUACUUAAGGAAGAAAAAGGAGGAUUCCAUUUUCAAGCAACUCUGUUUAACAAAACAUAUAUAAAAAUAUUUUGAAUUUUAUUAAAAUAUAUUUCAUCACUUAGACCUGUACAAUAUACACAGAAACAAGAAAAAGUACUGGUUAAAGACUUCAGGGAAAGCAAACAAGCAAAAGUAGAAUACUUCAGCCAUGCACACAAAGGUUUUUGUAUAUAAAAUGUAUUCAAAUUGAAAACUACAUUGACUGAGGCAAUUGCUGUAGUAUGCUGCUGCCAGGAUAAUGGGCUGAACAUUCUCCUCCCCUAGUUUAUUUAAUGAGAAGAUUUUUUUUUCCCAAUGUGACGCAGGUGCUGGGUUAAUCUUUCAACUCCUGCAGAGGAGAGUGGAACACUAAUGGAAUUACUGUGUGGCAGCUGGGCCUAGCGCCUCGCUCACCCAUGACUAUAUGUCAUUCUUUAAUUACUGCGACACAGUGACAUAACAUCCACCAAAUCUGGAGAUACAGUUGGUGACAAAGAUCAAAGGGAGAUGGUUUACAAUCCAGCACUGGAUUUGUUCCUUCUAGUUAUGAGGGGGGAAAAAUGCCCCUCAUGGUUGUCCUACCUUCUUCAACAAAAGUCACCCUGUUGACAUGGAACAAGUACCAACAGGCCUCAGCAUGUAUGGGGAACUUAUGACUGUCUUAUUCCAAAUCCUGCCAGAUUUGUGUGCCUGUAAAUUUGUAGCUUUGUAAUUUGAUCCAAAGCCAGCUGAAACAACUUAUUCCCGUUAAUUUUGAUCAGUCUGGAAUCAAGAUUUCUCUUAAGAGAAUUCUAAAUCAUUAGGAUACCAUUGGCUAUAACCUCAUUUUUGCAUCAAUACUGUGUUGUAAGAAGUGCUCAGGUUUGGGGAUUUUUGUUUUAAUUACAUCAUAUUUAUUCAAAACAAGGCAAAAUGAGGGAUGAUCCUUGCAAGGAAGAGGAAAACCUAGUGAGAGGCACAUCUUCUGUUCUGUGUAGAAUAUUUUCCAAUGGCAAUAAGUGCCCAACAUGAGCAGAGUCUUAAGGAUAUUUAAGAGAAAAGACUAUCAAGACAGCAAAUAUUCAUGGGCAAUGACCACACUGAAUAAAGAUUUUUGGUUAUAUAAAGAAUGUUAUCCA
ensembl:lncRNA